ensembl:lncRNA
CGGCAUUCCCAUGGCAACAGUAUCACAAAGAAAAGUUCCCACUGGUGUAAAGGCAAGAUGCUUUCCUCCUUGAUGUAAAAUAUUAUGCUGAUGGAUGGGCAGGUUGGUCCUGAGGAAUGGACCCAGGUCCCCAGAGCAGAUAGAUCUGUGUUCAAAUCCCAGCUUCACCACUUGUCAGUCUGAUGAAUUAGGAAGAUUAUUUGGCCUGAGUGAUUAUAAGAGUAUAAACCGAACUACUGCCUUGGACUGAGUUUCCCUGAGAGCACAGCCCAAGAUAAGGACCUGGGUGCAAGUGUUUUCUUUGGCAGAUAAGCCCAGGAAGCAACAAUGAGGCAGUGAGGUGAUCGAAUAAGGAAGGAGGAGGAGGCAGCAGCCCAGUGGUUCCAUGGCCUCCUGAGAAGAGUGCAGAUGUCUCCCUGAAUCGCUCAUCGGGAAGACGUGAGCCUGGAGCCUUUGUCCACGGAUGCUCAGUCCGCUUUGCUGAAGGUUGCCCUGGAGCGUUAUCUCCUCACUCCAGGCUGCUCCUGCAAUGCUGCGUAGACCAGACUGUGACGUCAGCAACUGUGACAUCAGCGAGAUGGGAUGCAGUGUGCUGAGGUGGGAGGUAGCCAAAGAGGGGACUCCGAGCUGGACCAGAUGGCCACGGCAGCCGUGACUUAAAUAGGAGUGAGAUCAGACAGUGCUCCAAUCUGCUACACCUAUUUUUCCAGAUUGGGUUAAGAUUGGACUUGACAACUCCAAAGCAUGUCAGACUGUAGUGGAGAAGAGCGAUCUCUUCACGGAGACCAGCGAUCACUGGCCUCAGAUUUCACUUGCUUAUUCUUCUACUGCCACUGUUCCGUUCUUACGUUGCUAUGGCGGAAAAAUGAGCUUUGAGUCAUAAAUUGUACCACGGUGAAAAAAUUCAAAAUUCAUCAUAUACCUAAACAUAAAACCUAAAACUAGAAAAUGCUAGUAAAGAAUACAGAAGAGAACCUUCAUGAUGUAGAGUUAGGCAGAGGCAAAGCAUGAAUUCAUUACAGAAAAAAAUAGAACUUCAUGAAAUUUUAGAACUUUGCAGAAGUCACUACAUUACAAAUGAAAGGAGCUGGGGAGAAAAUAUUUGAAAAUAAGAUACUUAUAAAGAACUUGUAUCCAGAAUAUAAAAAGAACCCUCCAAACCCAAUAUAAUAAGAAAAAAAAAAAGGCUAUAAAACAAUAAGCAAAAGUUUUGAACAGACCCUUUACCAAAGAAGAUAUAUAGAAGGCAAUGAAAAUAUACUCAGCAUUAUUUGUCCUCAGGGAAAAGCAGAUUAAAACUACAAAGAGAUGUCACUACACACCCACUUACAGUAAAAACUCCGAGCGCACCAAGUGUUGGCAAUGACAUCAAGCAUCUGGAAUGCUCAUACACUGCUGCUCCUCGUUCUUGCUUCCAGGAAUCACCUCCCAGAUGAACUUCGACAUACCUCAGUCCUCAUCCCAGGUUCCAGGUCUCAUCUUCAUCACAUCAGAGGCUGCACCUUCAAACCAUGAACAAGUUCAACACUGAGCUCAUGGUCGGCCUGUAAGAUAAGUUGAGCCCAGGGCAGGAGUGGAGUGGAGUGGAGGGCACUUUUCAAAACCUAAUGCCCAAGAGAAAUUUUGACUGUUUUUUUCUUUUAACUUAAUCCUUAGUGACUAAAAUUUUGACCUUCUAGUCACAGUUAAAUAAAAAGCUACUUGAGCAAGGGGGAUGGGGAAUAAAUAUUUGUAUUUAAAAUCAGAAUGAAAGAAACGCCAACCAGAGAGGGCCCUUUCGAUGACACAGAUACACAGGAAAACAUUAUCUGCUUGGAAAUUGCAUAGCAGUGGUCCAGCCUGGCAUGUUGACAUCAGGAUUCUCACUACAAACUACUAGGUCUGUUUCUGCCUCAUAUACUGACUUUAUUUUGCUGAAAAGACACUUGCUAUCAUUGGAUACAACUGUGGAUGGAAUUAGCACACAGGAAGAUUAUUUAUUACUAAUAUGCUCAAAGCAUAAUUAUACCAAAGCACAUCAUAACCAAACUGCUGAAAUAAAUGAUAAAGAGAAAAUCUUAAAUGCACACCGAUGAGAGUAAGAGCACAUUAUAUACAAAGGGAAAAAAAGAUAAAAAUAAAUGCUUACUUUUCAUCAUAAAUAAUGCAAGAGCCAAGAUAAUGAAACAACCUCUUUACUCUGUUCAAAGGAAGGAAAAAAAAAUCUGUCAACCUAGGAUUCUGUGUUAAGGGAAAAUAUACUUCAAAAAUAAAGCCAAAAUAAAUAUUUUGUUAGGUCAAAGUAAACCGAAUUAAUUUAUCAGUAAACCUUCACUAAAAGAAAUACUAAAAGAUGUUUGGCUGAUGAUAAAAUGAUAUU